rnacentral:tRNA from 1 species
UCCCUGGUAGCUCAGAGGUUAAAGCGUCUGCCUGCAAUGCAGGAGACCAGGGUUCAAUCCCUGGGUUGGGAA